CUUGCCCAGCAGAGAGACCCGCGAAC
rnacentral:rRNA from 1 species